GGCAGGAUGGUCGAGUGGUCUGGGCGCUGCGUUCAGGGUGCAGUCUCCCCUGGAGGCCCGGGUUUGAAUCCCGCUCCUGUCA
rnacentral:tRNA from 1 species